GAGGGUAUAGCUCAGUGGUUGAGUGCAUGCUUAGCAUGCACGAGGUCGUGGGUUCAACCCCCAGUGCCUCCU
rnacentral:tRNA from 1 species